GUCUUUUUGAAUUAAUAAUUUAAAGUCUAAUCUGCCCACUGAUAAAAAAUUAAAGGGCUGCAGUAUUUUGACUGUACAAAGGUAGCAUAAUCAUUAGUCUCUUAAUUGGUGACUUGUAUGAAAGAUUUGAUGAAAUAUAUACUGUCUCUUUUUAAUUUAUAGAAUUUAAUUUUUUAGUUAAAAAGCUAAAAUAUAUUUAAAAGACGAGAAGACCCUAUAGAGUUUAAUAUUUAUUUAAUUUAUAUUAAAAUUUUUUAUAAAAUUUAUAAUUUUAAUAUAUGUAAAUAUUUUGUUGGGGUGAUAAAAAAAUUAAAAUAACUUUUUUUAUAAUUUUACAUUAAUAAAUGAAUAAAUGAUCCGUAAUUUACGAUUAAAAGAAAAAAUUACCUUAGGGAUAACAGCGUAAUUUUUUUUUUUAGUUCAAAUAAGAAAAAAAGUUUGCGACCUCGAUGUUGGAUUAAGAUAAAAUUUAAAUGCAAAAGUUUAAAAUUUUUGAUCUGUUCGAUCAUUAAAAUCUUACA
rnacentral:rRNA from 1 species